AGCGUAUAUAUGUAGUACAUCUCUGAAGCACUAAAACAACAAAAAGUUACAACUUUUAGAUGUGGAUCAUACAGCAUCACUCCCCCUCGUGGAUGAGCAUUUGGUCAAAUUGACUUACCAUGUCCUUUUCCGACCCGCCUCAGUUGAGAAACAUAUUCCGAUAUCUUCUUAAUGGCUUCAACCUAUAAACUUCAUAAACUUAGAAACCGGGGUCGUUCGAAAGAUCUUUUUCGUUUCAGAUAUGAAUGAAAGCUAAGGGUUGAGCUGACCUGCUCGGUUAAAAACUCGCUUUCGACGAAAUCUGCCAUCUGAGCGUCAUUGUUUUGCUGGGCCACCUGUUAUUCAUCAAUGAAGUAAGACCAACAGAUUAGUUGUGGAUUCAAA